GUGGUGAUGUCCGAUUGCUCUGUGAGAAAUUAUGACAAAAUUUGCUAAUAAUACUUUGACAUAUUUUAGCAGUUAGUUGGGAAUGUAAUUGCAUUGCUGAAUAUGAAAACAUGACACUUAAUUUAGAAGCUCGGAUCAAUGGACUAGAAUGGACUAGUAAAAUUGUCUGACAUAAUACAGUAAGACAAAAAUAAUACAGUGAGGCAUAUCAAAACACAUUGCCACUUAAAGGGUUAACAUAUGUAUAUAUGAUAUUUUGUGGUGUAAAGAUGUAUAAUGUAUCUUGUUAAUGUUGUCCUUUUUUUCAGACGACAGAAAAAAUAACCAUUUUCAGAGAAAGAAGACUUUCCUAAGUGAGAAACUUGGAAGAUGGUCUUGGAUCUGUUUAAUAUACAAAAGAGAGGGCACAGGCAUCAACAUGCAGAAGAACAUGCAGAACAAUUACAAAAUGAAGUUAUAAUUACAA